ensembl:snRNA U6 U6 spliceosomal RNA
UAAGCUUCAGAAAAAUAAAACAAAAUUGGAACGAUAUAGAGAACGUUAGCAUGGCCCCUGCAGAAGGGCGGCAUGCAAAUUCGGACAUAAAAGGCUCAGCGCU